rnacentral:rRNA from 1 species
GACGAACGCUGGCGGCGUGCUUAACACAUGCAAGUCGAACGAUGAAAGCCGGAGCUUGCUCUGGCUGGAUUAGUGGCGAACGGGUGAGUAACACGUGAGCAAUCUGCCCUUGACUCUGGGAUAACUCCGAGAAAUCGGUGCUAAUACCGGAUAUGACCCCUGGCGGCAUCGCUGGGGGUGGAAAGUUUUUCGGUCAAGGAUGAGCUCGCGGCCUAUCAGCUAGUUGGUGAGGUAAUGGCUCACCAAGGCGACGACGGGUAGCCGGCCUGAGAGGGUGACCGGCCACACUGGGACUGGGACACGGCCCAGACUCCUACGGGAGGCAGCAGUGGGGAAUAUUGCACAAUGGGCGCAAGCCUGAUGCAGCAACGCCGCGUGGGGGAUGACGGCCUUCGGGUUGUAAACCUCUUUUAGCAGGGAAGAAGCGAAAGUGACGGUACCUGCAGAAAAAGCACCGGCUAACUACGUGCCAGCCGCCGCGGUAA